AACAGGAUUAGAUACCCUGGUAGUCCAUGCCGUAAACGAUGAGUGCUAGGUGUUGGAGGGUUUCCGCCCUUCAGUGCCGGAGCUAACGCAUUAAGCACUCCGCCUGGGGAGUACGACCGCAAGGUUGAAACUCAAAGGAAUUGACGGGGGCCCGCACAAGCGGUGGAGCAUGUGGUUUAAUUCGAAGCUACGCGAAGAACCUUACCAGGUCUUGACAUCUUGCGCUAACCUAAGAGAUUAGGCGUUCCCUUCGGGGACGCAAUGACAGGUGGUGCAUGGUCGUCGUCAGCUCGUGUCGUGAGAUGUUGGGUUAAGUCCCGCAACGAGCGCAACCCUUGUUACUAGUUGCCAGCAUUCAGUUGGGCACUCUAGUGAGACUGCCGGUGACAAACCGGAGGAAGGUGGGGACGACGUCAGAUCAUCAUGCCCCUUAUGACCUGGGCUACACACGUGCUACAAUGGUCGGUACAACGAGUCGCUAACCCGCGAGGGCAAGCUAAUCUCUUAAAGCCGAUCUCAGUUCGGACUGUAGGCUGCAACUCGCCUACACGAAGUCGGAAUCGCUAGUAAUCGCGGAUCAGCAUGCCGCGGUGAAUACGUUCCCGGGCCUUGUACACACCGCCCGUCACACCAUGGAAGUUUGUAACGCCCAAAGUCGGUGGCCUAACCAUUUGGAGGGAGCCGCCUAAGGCGGGACAGAUGACUGGGGUGAAGUCGUAACAAGGUAACC
rnacentral:rRNA from 1 species